GGGAUAUUGCACAAUGGAGGAAACUCUGAUGCAGCGACGCCGCGUGAGUGAAGAAGUAUUUCGGUAUGUAAAGCUCUAUCAGCAGGGAAGAUAAUGACAGUACCUGACUAAGAAGCCCCGGCUAACUACGUGCCAGCAGCCGCGGUAAUACGUAGGGGGCAAGCGUUAUCCGGAUUUACUGGGUGUAAAGGGAGCGUAGACGGGAUGGCAAGUCUGAAGUGAAAUCCUGCGGCUUAACCGCAGAAUUGCUUUGGAAACUGUCAACCUGGAGUGUCGGAGAGGUAAGCGGAAUUCCUAGUGUAGUAGUGAAAUGCGUAGAGAUUAGGAAGAACACCGGAGGCGAAGGCGGCUUACUGGACGAUAACUGACGUUGAGGCUCGAAAGCGUGGGGAGCAAACA
rnacentral:rRNA from 1 species